rnacentral:rRNA from 1 species
AUGGAGGCAGCAGUAAGGAAUAUUGCGCAAUGGGCGAAAGCCUGACGCAGCGACGCCGCGUGGGUGAUGAAGGCCUUCGGGUCGUAAAGCCCUGUCGGGGGGGACGAAACCUCCCGGUGCUAAUAUCACCGGGACCUGACGGUACCCCCUAAGGAAGCACCGGCUAACUCCGUGCCAGCAGCCGCGGUAAUACGGAGGGUGCGAGCGUUGUUCGGAAUCACUGGGCGUAAAGCGCGUGUAGGCGGCCUUUUAAGUCUGAUGUGAAAGCCCGGGGCUUACCCCCGGAAGGGCAUUGGAAACUGGGAGGCUCGAGUACCGGAGAGGAAGGUGGAAUUCCUGGUGUAGCGGUGAAAUGCGUAGAUAUCAGGAGGAACACCGGUGGCGAAGGCGGCCUUCUGGACGGAUACUGACGCUGAGACGCGAAAGCGUGGGGAGCAAACAGGAUUAGAAACCCGAGUAGUCCU